CCAGACACUGAACAUGGUGCUGGGUGGGAAAUCAGGUGCCCAUUUUGGUUAUAUGCCUAUUGGUCAGUUUUUAGAGCGCACUUUCUUUUCCACAGAAUCUUUACGUGGUGAUCAAGUAAAUUAUUUCUAAACUUAGCACAAAAAGUAAGGAAAUUU